CGCAAGCCUGACGGAGCAACGCCGCGUGUGGGAAGAAGGCUCUUGGGCUGUCAACCACUUUUCUCAGGGAAGAAGCCCUGACGGUACCUGAGGAAUCAGCCUCGGCUAACUCCGUGCCAGCAGCCGCGGUAAUACGGAGGAGGCAAGCGUUAUCCGGAAUUAUUGGGCGUAAAGCGUCCGCAGGGGGCACAUCAAGUCUGCUGUUAAAGGCUGGAGCUUAACUCCGGUAGAGCAGUGGAAACUGGUGUGCUAGAGGGCGACAGGGGUAGAGGGAAUUCCCAGUGUAGCAGUGAAAUGCGUAGAGAUUGGGAAGAACACCGGUGGCGAAAGCGCUCUACUGGGUCGCACCUGACCCUCAGGGACGAAAGCUAAGGUAGCG
rnacentral:rRNA from 1 species